CCGUUAGUUAGCACCUGGGCUGGCGGGCUGUCGCCGCGUCCUCCCCCAGGCUGGGUGGUGGAGAGCGGCCAGCGCCGGCCCACGAACCGGGACGACUCGCUCGCAGCCCUGCGCGAGGCUGAGGGGGCUUGGAACGCCGGGCGGAGGCUGAGGGGUGGGGGCCCCCAGCGCGCCCGCGCGGCCCCCGUUAGCUGUUGAGACCCCGGGGCGUGGGCGGGGAGACGUUUGUUCUCCGGAGGCCGCGCUGGCCGCCCGCGUAACAAUGGCGGGACGUGGGGCGGCGAGGUCUGCGGGAGCGGCGCUUUGCAACUCGGGGAGCGCUCUUCCGCCGAGGGAGCGUUUUUGUUUGCCGCCUCCCACGGAAGAAGGAAUCGUGUCAGGGGAGGCUGGGGACCGAGCCUUCCGACGGCACUCAGGACGCGGGCGCCGCGGCGUUCGCCUCAGGGUUUCCGCCGCCCGACGCGACGCCCCAACUCCCGACAACCGUAUCCGGGCAACGCGCGGCGCAGCGUCGCUGACUAGUUUUUGUGCGUUUCUCCCCGGCUUGGGCGCGGACCGGCUGUGAACGAGUCCCGUAGGCAGGAUCGGAACUCCUCGGAGGUCCACCUCGUAGGAAAUUAUUGGAAGGAACAUGAGAAAAGCCUCAGAGGACAGGGAAAGAGAAGAGGAGCCAGGUGCUCUCUACUGUCUGUGAUGGGUGCCAGGUGCGCUGCGGGCUGUGCUGUGGGCUUCUGCUUACCCUGUAGCCUGGUUUAUCAUCACAACAAACUAAAAGGCAGGAGCAAUUUAUUUAUUUACUUAGUUUUAGAAGUAAAGAGACUGGAGCUCAGGAAAUUUAAGUAACUCAGCUCUGGAGGUGUCACGGAAAUGUAGGCUUUUCAUUAUCCCCACACUGUUUUCAGGCUGUUGACCCAAAGUCAACAACUACUUAAUGAACAGCUCCUUGUGCCCAGGUGCUUUUUGAAAUCAGCAAGCAUUUAAGAAAAGCAGUAUCUCACUACCUCAUGCAGAACAGGGAGAUGAGCAUUUGUAGAUCCGUGGUGAUGCUGUAGUCUCCCUUGUGGAGUAAGAUGUGCUGCGGGGAGACGAGCAGUGACUCCCACAGUACAAUCCUGGCAUUUCCAAAACAAAACAAAAAUGGUGUGCGGAGCACAAAUAUGGGCCUUAUGCAACAGAGCGAACUGCAAGGGCAUUUUCUUGCACUGGUGACAAGUAUAAAAAUGCCGCUGGUUUCCUGUGUUAAGUGCACACAAUCUUGAUUAAUUAAAUUAACUACUGACCUGAUACUUGGACUAAUUAGGUGCUGCUUGUGAAAAAACAUCUAGGGGAAUAUCCGGCUAGGGGAAUAUCCGGCCAGGGAAAGGAUUAGGCUAAGAAAGGGGAUUGUCAGACACUGGAAGGCCUUCAGCUGGUGGAAAUCUGAGCAUUCUGGGAAGCAGUGACAGAGGUGUCCUUUAGUUUUAUCCCACCUCCAAGCAAUCUGCACAACUUGAGUGAUUUUUUAAAAAAUAUUUUUAAAAAUAUCGGGGUUUUUUGUUUUGUUUCUGCUUUUAAUGGGAAGGCUCAUUUGGAAAGACAGGAAGAUCAGUGGUUACUUGGAGCAGAAGGUAUCUUUUUUGGGGGUGAUGGUUGCACAACUCUAAAUUGAUUAAAAAUCAAUGAAUUAUACACAUAAAAGAGAUGAGCUGUAUGGUAUGUAAAUUAUACCUCAGUGCAACUGGCAAAAUAAGCCCUGGAAAAGCCUUGUGUGCUCAGUAGCUGUCUCGCCUCCUGCCCCUCUGGAUGUUCCCAGUGUGUUCCUGCAUGUGAGCCACUCCGGGCUGGCUGCAGAUCUUCGGAUAAAGGCUGUGUGUCUCAGUGCCUCAGCACGUGCUGCUCUUCUCUUGGGCUCUCCUUCUCACUGAUGCCUGCCGGAGGAAACAUUCUUUCUUCAAGGUCUUGCCAAGACGCUUCCUGAUUUUUUUCCAAGUGACAGUGCUGUUAUUUUUUAAAUUUAGUUUUCAUUUUAAAACUAUUUAUUUUUGUGAAACAGAGGUCUUCCAUCCUCUAGUUCACUCUCCAAGUGCCUGCAACAGCCAGGCUUGGGCCAGGCUGAAGUCAGAAGCCAGAAACUUCAUGUGGGUCUCCCACAUGGGUGGAAGGACCCAACAACUUGAGCAGUUAUCUGCUGCUUUCAGGAUUCAUUCUUAGGAAACUGAACUGUAAGAAAAUGACUCGAACCAGCACUGCAGAAUGGGGUGCCCACUAGGCCACAGUGCCCAUCCCUCUUGCUUUCUCUUAACCCUGUGACCUCUGGCAGGUUGCUUGAUCUUAGGUGAGAUAAGGAUGGUAGUAUUACCUAUCUCAGAGUUGUAAGGAUUAGAUGGAUUUUUACAGAUAAAACACGGGCACAGGAUAGGUGUUCAUACAUGUUUGUUGUUAUUACAUGGUGAGUGUUAGGAUAAAGGAUUAGGGGAAAUACACCUGAAGAAGGUACCACCUGCCCUGAGUUAAGAAAUGAGCAGGGCCGGCCAUUGCGGCCAUCUAGGGAGCAAACCUAGUGGAUGGAAGAUUCCCUCUCCACCUCUCCACCUCUCCACCUCUCCACCUCUCCACCUCUCCACCUCUCCACCUCUCCACCUCUCCACCUCUCCACCUCUCCACCUCUCCACCUCUCCACCUCUCCACCUCUCCACCUCUCCACCUCUCCACCUCUCCACCUCCCUACCUCCCUACCUCCCUACCUCCCUUUGCCUCUCUCUAACUCUUUCAAGUAAAGAAAUCUUAAAAAAAAAAAAAAAAAAAAAAGAGCAGGAGCCAGUGUUACGGUGCAGCAGCUCGAGCCACUGCCAGAAAUGCCAGCAGUCUAUCUUAGAGUGCUGGUUUAUGUUCUGGCUGCUCCACUUCCAAUCCAGCUCCCUGUUAAUGCACAUAGGAAAUCAGAAGAAGGGGGCCCAAGUAUUUUGGUCCCUACCACCCAUGUGGGAGACCUGGAUAGAGUUAGCCUGGCCCAACCCUGGCUUUUGCAACUACCUGUGAAGUAAACCAGUGGGUAGAAGAUAUCUGUCUCUAUAUUUCUUUGUAUAGCUCUGUCUUUCAAAUAGUCUUUUUAAAAAAACAUAUGAUUACUUAUUUAUUUGAGGAUCAGAAUUACAGAGAGGGAGAGCUUUCAUCCAUUGGUUCAUUCCCCAGCUGGUUGCAAUGAGUACAGGGGCCCAGAGACCUAGGCCAUCUCUGCUGCUUUCCCAGGCACAUUAGCAGGGGGCUGGAUCAGAAGUAGAGCAGUCGAGACUCAAACUGGCAUCCAUGUGGGAUGCUCAUGUUGUAGGUGAUGGCUUAACCUGGUAUACCACAAUGCUGGCUCCUCAAGUAAUCUUUAAAAAAAAAAAGUUUAUUUUCAACUACUAGAAAGGGAGUGAGUUGGGAGGAAAGGGACAAAGAAGGGGGGAGCGGUGCUGUGGCAUAGUGGGUAAAGCUGCCACCUGUGGUGCUAGCAUCCCAUAUGGGCGCUGAUUCGAGACUCAGCUGCUCCACUUCCCAUCCAGCUCUUUGCUGUGGCCUGGGAAAGCAGUGGAAGCUGGCCCAAGUCCUUGGGCCCCUGUACCCACAUGGGAGACCCGGAAGAAGCUCCUGGCUUCUGGCUUUGAAUAGGUGCAGCUCCAGCCAUUGUAGCUAUCUGGGGAGUGAACCAGCAGAUGAAAGAACUCUCUCUCUAUGCCUCUUCUCUCUCUGUGUGUAACAGUGACUUUCAAGUAAAAUAAAUACAUCUUAAAAAAAAAAAAAGAAGAGAGAGAGAAAGAGGGAGGUGUAUCUUCCAUUUGCUUGUUUAUUCCAAAUGCCUGCAGUAGCCUGGGCUGAGCCAGGCCAAAGCCAGAAGCUCUGAAUUCAAUCUGGGUUUCCCACAUGGGUGGCAGGGACCCAAAUAUGUAAGCCACUAUUACUGCCUCCUGGGGUGUGCAUUAGCAGGAAGUUGGAUCAGAAGUGCAGUUGCUGGGACUAGAACCAGCACUUCAAUAUUGGAUGUGGGUGUCUCAAACAGCAAUUUAACUUACUGUACUAUAAUGCCUGCCCUUAAAUCCUUUUAUUUUUUUUAAUUUUUAAAAAAGUUUUUUGACAGGCAGAGUGGACAGUGAGAGAGAGAGAGAGAGAGACAGGUCUUCCUUUGCCGUUGGUUCACCCUCCAGUGGCCGCCGCGGCCGGUGCACCACACUGAUCUGAUGGCAGGAGCCAGGUACUUAUCCUGGUCUCCCAUAGGGUGCAGGACCCAAGCACUUGGGCCAUCCUCCACUGCACUCCUGGGCCACAGCAGAGAGCUGGCCUGGAAGAGGAGCAA